ensembl:lncRNA
CAAAAGCGCUUUUCAAAAGCCACCUCCUGGGUGGAGGCACUAACUGGUGACUGUGACAGCUGAUUUCGAGAUCAGGCUGGUGGGAGUCAGCUCAGAAACACUCACCUCCAUGGAGACGACCUGGGAGCCUCAGUAAAGAAGGUCACUGGCCAGAUCCCAUCACUAAGACUCUGGAACUCCCCUGUCCGCUCCCUCCUUCCCUUCCCACCACGCUUGGAAGGCCUCCUCCAACCCCAGGCCCAGCUCUUGAUGGAAUCACUGUCCCCCAGUAAACCAACCUGUGACUUCGGAACGCCCCACAGGGGCAGAGAGGAAACCUUGCCUUUGAAAAUGGUGAAAGAGUCAGGUUCACCUAGGUCUCUUCCCUUGGCAAAAAGCCACAGCUGUGCUGGGGGAAGAGGCAGAUGAAAGUUACCCUCACUUUGUUUUAUAAAAAAUAGGCCUUGCCUGGCUAGGAUAUAGACUAAAGUCUGAUAAUGAGUGACUACCCCCGACAACACCCAAGUCCCCUGCCUUCCCCUCCCCCAAGGGCGUGAGAAUUGUCUGUCACCCUCUGGUUAUCUGACUGUUGGUAGGUUCCCCCGUACCAGCCGUGAGCCUGUAACUUCUGUGGUUCCACAUACCCAGCCCGAGCACAGAGCCCGGCUUCUGAAUAAAGAAUGAAUAAAUGAGUGAGUCCAUGAAGCUCCAAGCCCAGGCUUCCAUCCCCGCAGGGAUUCCCUCUGGCCCACCAGCAGGCUUUGGCCCGAGUUUCUUUAGCCUUUGCCUGGCCCGCUGGCCUCCCGGAAGGCAAAGCCAAGCCCCUCGCCCAGCUGCAGGCCAUCCACAAGCCCCACCAGCCCCCGGCAAGACUGAUUCAUGGGGCUGAGUCGUCUCUUUGGAUUUGAACUUAGAAAUUUCACAGCUCGAGGGGGGCAAGGGCUCGUCCCCACCCCUCACCCAGAACUGCUGCAUCCCUGAGCGUGUGUCUCUGCCGACCCGCCAUGGCAGUACUCAGGAUGGAGACCACUGGCCUCUCAGGAAGAGCCCCUGGAAAACAAGAAUCUGCAACUGGAAUGAGGCAGCAGGAAAUUGAGUGGCCUCCACGAGGAGGCUGAGCAGGGCUGCGGAAGGAACCAUGCUUGGAGCUGCUCAGUCCUGGAUGUGGAUGUGGCUCUACCAUGAGCUGUGGGACCUUCGAGAAGCCACUUAACCCUUCAGAGCCGCCAUUUCUUUCCAGAGUGUCUGCCCCAUGUGCUGGUUGGGGGGUGUGAAUAAGAGGUAGAUCAAGUGCCCACAUGGUCUUCUGGAAGGGAUGGAGUGAGGCCCUCGCCAGCUCAGGCCAAUCCAGGAGCUCAAACUCAAGGCCCCACAGACCAGAAGCCAGUGCCUGUGGUUCUGUCCACUCCAACUUCUGCAACUGCCUGUGAUCCUGAGCCCAUGACUUCCUGCCAGGCUGUGGGUAGACAUGAGAAGAAGCAAGGGAAACCUAUGAGGCCAAGGUCUUCCUAAAGGAAGGGACAAAAAUCCAAGCUCAGUGAGGUCAGCUACAGGUGUCUAGCAUCAGAACCCAGUGGCCAGGGAGCGCUGGGGAGAGGAAGGGAAGGGGGCCUGAGCCCAGGAUCAAACAGGCUGCUUCAGGCAGGUGGGGACACCGAAAAUCCCCUUCAGGCCCCUCCACUCCUCACCCCUCCCUUAUUCACACUCUUGGCUCCAGGGUGCUCCCAUCCCACUCAAACCCAGUCACUAGUUCACGGGCUCAUGUAGGAUGCUAGAGCUAGAAGGGACCUCAGUGAAUCCGCCCAUCCAGUUGGUUCAUCCCACCCAUCUUUCAGGAAACCAAGGCCCACAGGGGACAGGACUUUCUGCUGAUGGGGACUUAGCUGUAGGCUCAAACUCAGUCUGGUUCCCAGCUCU